rnacentral:rRNA from 1 species
CGUAGGUGGCAAGCGUUGUCCGGAAUUAUUGGGCGUAAAGCGCGCGCAGGCGGUUCCUUAAGUCUGAUGUGAAAGCCCCCGGCUCAACCGGGGAAGGUCAUUGGAAACUGGGGAACUUGAGUGCAGAAGAGAAGAGCGGAAUUCCACGUGUAGCGGUGAAAUGCGUAGAGAUGUGGAGGAACACCAGUGGCGAAGGCGGCUCUUUGGUCUGUAACUGACGCUGAGGCGCGAAAGCGUGGGGAGCAAACAGGAUUAGAUACCCUGGUAGUCCACGCCGUAAAACGAUGAGUGCUAAGUGUUAGAGGGUUUCCGCCCUUUAGUGCUGCAGCUAACGCAUUAAGCACUCCGCCUGGGGAGUACGGCCGCAAGGCUG